CCGCUCCCAUUCGGUGUGUGCACUCGGUGUAGAGAGGCCGCACGGUCGGCGGCCCCUUCCUCUCUCGCCAGAGGCCCCCGUGUGCGUGUCUCGUGUGUAAGAGUGUUGACGUAGUGUUCGUUUUUUUAUAGCCACGACGACGGUGCCCAGGUGGUCAAAUAGAAAAAUGACGCGAUUGCGGUUCGCCGCCAGCGCAGCGGGACGCUCUAGGUGUAGCCCCACGGGGCCCCCUUCAUGAUAUAUAUGACGACCACCAUCGGAAAACGCGCAGUGACUACUUUUAACGAAGAACGCCGACGACGAAUCUUCUCUUAUUAUUAUUAUUGUUGUUGUUGUUAUUGUUCUUGUGUGUUGCCAACUACGAAGACGUCGACGAAUUUGAUUAGAAGAUGGCCGCUUGGGAUAAACGCCCCACGAGGGGGCCGCUUUUUCAUCCAAGCAACCAAGGGUAAAAUUGGAGGUUUGGACUUUGUAUUUACCUCCAGCCCUUGUGGUAGACUCUGACGAUAUGGAUACAGUAUGGCCCAAGCACACCGGCACACCACAGGAAGAAGUCUUGUUUUGUCGAUUCUCUGUCUCCAUGCUAUUUGUCUACAGGUUACAAGCGAGUGCGAUCAGACGUUUGUGAGCAGACCGGGAGGUCCUCAAAACGGUACGUUUAGCGCGCCAGAGUUCGUGAAUCCCUGGAGUCAUUCGCGCCAGUGUGUCUACACGUUUUUGGCCGGACCAGGACAAAGAGUCGAAGUGAUUUUCACUAGUUUUGCACUAAGGGGCACUCCACCCGAUGGAGCUGCAGUUGGCGAUCUCCCUGCGUGAGUACAAUUUUAUUUUUAUUU